rnacentral:lncRNA from 1 species
UCCAGAGUCGGUGCAGGGUUGACAGGAGACGUUUGUUUUGCUUUUCCUGAACUUUCGAUCGCCAGCUUAUUUGGUCUUCUUGAUGUUAUAGGGUUGAUAGAGAGGAGUGGAGUGAUAUCGGACACCCAGCUUCAGCAAGCUCUCUCCAAGGGAUGAAGCCCCACCCGCCGUACAGGAUGCAAAGCCCUCCUCUAUAAAGUGCGUGCGGGGCCAGAUGCAGUGGCUCACGUCUGACCUCCCAACACUUUGGGAGGCCGAGGCAGGGGGAUCGUUUGAGACCAGCCUGGACAACAUUGGUGAAGCCCCACCCACCCUUCAGAAUGCCAGCCUUGGCAACGUUGUGAGACCCUGUUUCUACAAAAAGUAAACGUAUAGUGGUGCACGCCUGUAGUUCCAGCUACUUGGGAGGCUGAGAUGGGAAGAUCACUUCAGCC